GACGAACGCUGGCGGCGUGCUUAACACAUGCAAGUCGAACGGAAAGGCCCUGCUUUUGUGGGGGGCUCGAGUGGCGAACGGGUGAGUAACACGUGAGUAACCUGCCCUUGACUUUGGGAUAACUUCAGGAAACUGGGGCUAAUACCGGAUAGGAGCUCCUGCUGCAUUGUGGGGGUUGGACAGGUUCGGCGGUUGGGGAUGGACUCGCGGCUUAUCAGCUUGUUGGUGGGGUAGUGGCUUACCAAGGCUUUGACGGGUAGCCGGCCUGAGAGGGUUACCGGCCACAUUGGGACUGAGACACGGCCCAGACUCCUACGGGAGGCAGCAGUGGGGAAUAUUGCACAAUGGGCGGAAGCCGGAUGCAGCAACGCCGCGUGCGGGAUGACGGCCUUCGGGUUGUAAACCGCUUUCGCCUGUGACGAAGCGUGAGUGACGGUAAUGGGUAAAGAAGCACCGGCUAACUACGUG
rnacentral:rRNA from 1 species